CCGUACAUACGUCUGAUACAUACCUACGCGCGUAGUAGACAUCGUAAACAGUAGUAUAGUAGUACAGAUACACGACAAUAGGCUAAGGUUUCAAUCAGUAUGUCAGGAGAUUCCGUCGGCGAUGAGUGUCGGCGAAUCGUAUCAAAUUAUGUCCCAUACCGUGUUCCGAACUCUUCUCGAAUCCUGACGGGAAUCCGUCGGUAAAACGAUGAUAAAUUUUUUUAUCCCGAUACAAAUCGAAUCUGUCGGCUGAAAUAUUGACGCGUUUAUAUCGCACGUGAUCUGUUUCGUGUUUCGCGCGUGUGUGUGCAAUGUGAAGUUUCAACGUUUUGGAUAAUCUGCAGCUAGAGAUGCGAGAUCGUCGAAAUUUGUGGAUUUUUUCCCGAAACGGAUGUGCUUCACCAGGACGAUUUCUCCUUCUGUUGCGCACCCCGUGAACCUUGCUACGAAAAAACUUGGCAGGGGAUGCUGACUAUUAUUUCGUUACGUCGAUCAAUACUGAUAUUCGACCACAACGGUACACAACGUUUUUCCGAUCGUUCGAUUCAAAGUGGCCGCGCUACAUCCGCAGCCUGCUCAGAGCGCUGGCUACCUCCGGCCUGGGAACGCCAUUCGGCAGCAGGCCUCGACACGCUAC